CAAAUGCCCUCUGGGCUGUGGGAGCUCCCAGCUCUGUGCUCAGACAGGGCUGAGGUCUCUGGGAAGGCAGGUGUGGACUAGAAGAUGAGGCUGCUGGGUCUUGUCCUGUGCUUGGUCACAGCUCCCCGAGGUGUCCUGUGCCAGUUGCAGCUGCAGGAGUCAGGACCUGGCCUGGUGAAGCCCUCACAGACCCUGUCCCUCACCUGUGCUGUCUCUGGUUACUCCAUCACCAGUGGUUAUUGCUGGCACUGGAUCCGUCAGCCCCAAGGGAAGGGGCUGGAGUACAUAGGGUACAUAUGUUAUAAUGGUAACACUAACUACAGCCCAUCCCUCAAGAGCCGAGUGUCCAUCUCCAGAGACACGUCCAAGAACCAGUUCUCCCUGCAGCUGAGCUCCCUGACCACUGAGGACACGGCCACCUAUUACUGUGCCAGAGACACAGUGAGGGGACCUCAGUGUGAGCCCAGACACAAACCUCCUGCAAGGUGCCCAGGGCCAGCAGGGGGCACUCAGCACACAGGAGCUCAGGUCAGCCAGGGGCACGUGCAGAGGAGGAGAGAACUUGACCCCAUUCCUGAGCCUCCUCACCAGCCAGCUCCUCCUGAGGGCACCAGCUAUGGGGGUCCUAGAGAAGCCUCCUCCCCUUGGACACCACUCAUUUCUCUCCAGGUGAGGUGUGUCAGGAGUGCUCUUUUUCAGCAGUGGAUGCACAGUCUCCUCUUUAGCUGAGGCUUUCUGUGCAAU